rnacentral:rRNA from 1 species
GAUGAACGCUGGCGGCGUGCUUAACACAUGCAAGUCGAACGAAGUGGCGGACGGGUGAGUAACGCGUGGGUAACCUGCCUUGUACAGGGGGAUAACAGUUGGAAACGGCUGCUAAUACCGCAUAGUAUAAGAUGGACCCGCGUUGGAUUAGCUAGUUGGUGAGGUAACGGCCCACCAAGGCGACGAUCCAUAGCCGACCUGAGAGGGUGACCGGCCACAUUGGGACUGAGACACGGCCCAAACUCCUACGGGAGGCAGCAGUGGGGAAUAUUGCACAAUGGGCGAAAGCCUGAUGCAGCGACGCCGCGUGAGCGAAGAAGUAUUUCGGUAUGUAAAACUCUAUCAGCAGGGAAGCGGUACCUGACUAAGAAGCACCGGCUAAAUACGUGCCAGCAGCCGCGGUAAUACGUAUGGUGCAAGCGUUAUCCGGAUUUACUGGGUGUAAAGGGAGCGCAGGCGGUGCGGCAAGUCUGAUGUGAAAGCCCGGGGCUCAACCCCGGUACUGCAUUGGAAACUGUCGUACU